rnacentral:rRNA from 1 species
ACGCUGGCGGCAUGGUUAAGACAUGCAAGUCGAACGAAAAACAUGACUUCGGUCAUGUGGAAAGUGGCGAACGGGUGCGUAACACGUGAGCAACCUGCCCUUGAGUAUGGAAUAGCCCGCCGAAAGGCGGAUUAAUGCCGUAUGUGGCCUUUCAUCGCAUGGUGAAAUAGCUAAAGCUUGUAAUGGCGCUCAAGGAUGGGCUCGCGGCCUAUCAGCUUGUUGGUGAGGUAAUAGCUCACCAAGGCAAAGACGGGUAGCUGGUCUGAGAGGAUGAUCAGCCACACCGGGACUGAGACACGGCCCGGACACCUACGGGUGGCAGCAGUUUCGAAUCAUUCACAAUGGGCGAAAGCCUGAUGGUGCAAUGCCGCGUGGAGGAUGACGGCCCUAGGGUUGUAAACUCCUGUCAUUGGGGAGCAACAAGCAGGUUCAUAACCUGCCCUGAGUUAACCCAAAGAGGAAGAGGUGGCUAACUCCGUGCCAGCAGCCGCGGUAAUACGGAGACCUCGAGCGUUACUCGGAUUUACUGGGCGUAAAGGGUGAGUAGGCGGCCAAGUAUGUCGGGUGUGAAAUCCCGGGGCUUAACCCCGGAACUGCGCCCGAAACUAUUUGGCUAGAGUCUCGGAGAGGAUAGUGGAAUUCCAGGUGUAGCGGUGAAAUGCGUAGAUAUCUGGAGGAACACCAGUGGCGAAGGCGACUGUCUGGACGAGAACUGACGCUCAAUCACGAAAGCGUGGGUAGCGAAAGGGAUUAGAUACCCCUGUAGUCCACGCCGUAAACGUUGUACAUUAAGUUUCGGAGGAUUCGACCCCUUCGGAGCUCAAGCUAACGCGUUAAAUGUACCGCCUGAGGACUACGGCCGCAAGCGCCUAAAACU